rnacentral:rRNA from 4 species
AACUUUCAACAACGGAUCUCUUGGCUCUCGCAUCGAUGAAGAACGCAGCGAAAUGCGAUAAGUAAUGUGAAUUGCAGAAUUCAGUGAAUCAUCGAAUCUUUGAACGCACCUUGCGCCCCUUGGUAUUCCGAGGGGCAUGCCUGUUUGAGUGUC